UAUCUUCGAAAUGUGAGGUUAUAGUUUAUGGAUGUGUUGAUUGAGUGUUGACGGCGGGAUUCAAGUUACAAUUUUUAAAGAGGGUCGCUGACAGGUGGAGAAUUUCGAAGCGACAGGGCCAGUGUCAAUUAUGGAACAAUGCUUCCUCCAUUGUUGACUCCCACAAGACAAAUUAGCUGACUCCCAAUGAGGGAAUUGUGACAAUAAACUCGAAAUAGGAGUGCCUCAAAGUAACCUGCCUUUUCCGUGGGAUUUACCUGAGGCUGAGGUCCAUCCACGCGUCGUUGAAGGCCUGACCUUAUCCUCGAUGCUGGUCUGGUCUUGCCGGUGCCUUCGGUGAUUUUUGAUUAU